UCAACUGAAGCUCCUUUCUCUGUGAUAACUCCAGCUGUGUCAAGAUGACACAAAACUAGCCAGUGCACUUGGGCUUUGCAUACCCUAAGCAUAUGCACUUGUUCUACCAUGAGUAUAUUCCAGCCUCACCUUGGCCUUUUGCAGGCAGAGUUUUAGAGUAUUCAAUUUUUAAGUUGUGAUAAUGUGUGUGCAAGUGUGUGUGUGUGUGUACGUGUGUACAUGAGGUUUUGUUAUUGUAACUGCAUUUUUACAUUUACAAUAUUGUACACCUAUCACUGUUCCCAAAGCUUUCUCAAUACAACUGAGCAGAAAUUCUCUAUGACUAUUAAGUGGUAACUCCUCACUCACCUUUCCUCCAGUUCUGGGUGACCUCUGACUUAGAUUCUGCUUCUGGAUUUACCUAUUCUAGGUAUUUAAUAUAAGGUGGAUUCUAUAAUGCCUAUUCUCUUAUGUCUGGAUUUACCUAUUCUAGGUAUUUAAUAUAAGGUGGAUUCUAUAAUGCCUAUUCUCUUAUGUCUGGAUUUACCUAUUCUAGGUAUUUAAUAUAAGGUGGAUUCUAUAAUGCCUAUUCUCUUAUGUCUGGAUUUACCUAUUCUAGGUAUUUAAUAUAAGGUGGAUUCUAUAAUGCCUAUUCUCUUAUGUCUGGAUUUACCUAUUCUAGGUAUUUAAUAUAAGGUGGAUUCUAUAAUGCCUAUUCUCUUAUGUCUGGAUUUACCUAUUCUAGGUAUUUAAUAUAAGGUGGAUUUUAUAAUGCCUAUCCUCUUAUGUCUGGCUUAGCUCACUAGCAUAAUAUUUUCAAACCUCAUGUGUUAGAUUUUUGGUUUUUACAUACUUUAUAGUAUACAAUGUACACUUUUAUCUUAAUCAUGUGUUGAUAGCCACUGGUUAUUUCUACCUUUUGGCUACCGUGAACCCUGUUGGAAGAAACAGUGGCUACUGCUGCAGUAGCUGUACAGGUAUAUUUGGGUGGGGGCUAUGCGUUUAUAUCCCCUUCCCACCACCAAAGCAGAAUUGCUGGGUCAUUGUCAUCUGAUUGUUCUUCAUAUACAUCUUUUUAAAAGAAAUGCAUUGCAUAUAUGUAUGUGGUGGGUGUGCACGUGCCAUGGCAUGUGAGUGUAGGUCAAAGGACAACUUGUGGGAAUCUGUUCUGUUCUUGCUCCAUGUGAGUCCCAGAGAUUAAAUUCGGGUCAUCAGGUUUGGUGGCAAGUGCUAUUAUCCAGUGAAGUCAUUUUGCAAGUCCUCUUUGUUUACUUUUUAAGGAAUUAUCAAACUUUUCCACUAUUCUGUUUUGCUUUAUUAAUUUUUCAUUGCAUUUUAUUUAUUGUGAGAGGGAGGUAUGAGUAUGUGCCAUUGUGCAAGUGUGGAGGUCAGAGGACUGACUACAUGUAGGAAUCAGUUCUCUUUUCUACCAUAUAGAUCCUGGAGCUUGAACUGAUUGUCAGGCCUGGCAGCUAGGACCUUUACCACACCUACUGGAUCAUCUUGCCAACCUCCAUUUUAUAUUUUUACUAGCACUAUAUGAAGUUUCUAUUUUCUCACCAUGUUUUUCUUCCUGACUAUCAUAUUUUCUGUUAGUGUGUGUGUUCAAAUCUACAGCCUCAUAUAUAUCAGACAAAUGGCUAUACCCUGAGUUGUGACCCAGACCCUACCCACCCUUUGUUAUAGCCUUUCUGGGUAUGAAGAGGUACUUCAUUGUGAUUUUGACUUGCAUGCCUCUAUCAUUAAUAGUGAUGAGCAUUUGAUAUGACUUGACUAGUACUUUUUUUAUGUGACAAUCAGGAAAGAGGGUGGAUACAGUUUUAAGAAUAAUUUGUAGGUUUUAGAUUAAAUUGUUGUUUAUAUAGGUAUGGCAGUAAAAGAUACAGGGAAGAUAUAUUUGGGGAUAAAUCAAAUGACUUCCUUUUGAUUCAUGUUAAGUUAGAAAUACCUAUAAAGUACUUAAAGCCAAGGGUAAGACCAGGUUCUAUAUACACUAGAGGAAAAGGAGACUGAAAAAUAUGCUAGCUUAUUCCCAGCACUCAGAGGCUUCAUUCAGAAUGUGUCACCAUUGGACGAAGACUACAAAUGAGCUGCCAGCAGGACAGGAAGUCAUGACAAUGACAGGAAAGCGGAGAGGUUACUUUUUGUUGCUAAGGUCUAGGUAUUACAAGUACCUACUGCAUUUAACACUGGAGCUAGGAAGCCUUUAACAAGAAUAGUUGCAUUAUGGCUAAAUGUGGUGAAACCCGCUUUCAGUGAGCUUAAGCAUGACUAGCUGUCUGUACACGGCAUACCAAAGUAAAUUCCAGGGCUGGGAAAGUUGUUUAGUUGGUACUUGAUAGCUAAGUUGCAGGGGUUGAAGAGAUGGCUCAGGGGUUAAGAGCACUGAUUAUUCUUACAGAGGUCCUGGGUUAAGUUCCCAGCACCCACAUGGCAGCUUACAACUGCCUAUAACUCCACUUCCAGAGGAUUUGAUGCUGUAUUCUGGCCUCCAUGGGUACAGGCACAUAGUUCAGAGAUAAACAUGCAGCAAAACACUCCUACACGUGAAGUAAAAUAAAAAGCAUUGUGUAAAGCUGGGCCUGGUGGAACACAUCUGCAAUUCUAGCACUUAGGAGUUGAUGCAGCAAGGCCAGAAGUUCAAGGUUACUCUUGACUACAUAACAACUUUGAAGGAAGCUGUUCUGGGCUACUUGAGAUCCUGACACAAAAGCACAUACCAAUUUCAUAUGGCAGAAAUGAUGAAUUUCAAUCCAAGCCAGGCUGAGCAUUGUGGCAGGCACAGGCCUGUAGCUCUGUACUGGGAGUGUGGGGAGAAGUAUGAUGAGCUUGAGGAAGGAGUCUCUGAUCUACAUCAUAAGACUCCAUUCGGGGGAAGGGGAAGAAAAGCAAAGAAAGUAAAGGAGGCAGACACCGGUGGCUCAUACAUAUCAUCCUAGUACUUUGGAGACUGAAGUAAGAAAAGUGUAUGUCUGUCCAUGGCCAACCUAGGCUAUGUUUUGAUCUCCAGAUCAGCAUAGGUUACAUAAUAAGGCCUGCUUCAACAAACCAAACCCAACUGAAAAUCAGUGUGGCCUUGGUACUGUGAAUGAUCGCAAAGAACUAUAAAAGCAAACUAAGCCAUAAGUGGAGUGUGCUUUAGGGGAGUAGGAAUCCUUUUUGGGAGGCACAUCUUGAACUGAAAAAAAAAAAAAAUGAAGAAACAAGCUA